CCCUUAGAUGUUCUGGGCCGCACGCGCGCUACACUGAUGCAUUCAACGAGUUCCUACCUUGGCCGAGAGGCCUGGGCAAUCUUUUGAACUUGCAUCGUGAUAGGGAUAGAUUAUUGCAAUUAUUAAUCUUGAACGAGGAAUUCCUAGUAAACGCAGGUCAUCAAUCUGCAUUGAUUACGUCCCUGCCCUUUGUACACACCGCCCGUCGCACCUACCGAUUGAAUGGUCCGGUGAAGCCUCGGGAUUGUGGUUAGUUUCCUUCAUUGGAAGUUAGCCGCGAGAACUUGUCUAAACCUUAUCAUUUAGAGGAAGGUGAAGUCGUAACA
rnacentral:rRNA from 1 species